rnacentral:rRNA from 1 species
GAUGAACGCUAGCUACAGGCUUAACACAUGCAAGUCGAGGGGUAACAAGAGGAAAGCUUGCUUUUCUUGUUGACGACCGGCGCACGGGUGAGUAACGCGUAUCCAACCUGCCUACAACUAGGGAAUAACCUUGCGAAAGUAAGACUAAUACCCUAUGAUUUCCUUUGAUGACAUCAGAUUAGGAAUAAAGAUUUAUCGGUUAUAGAUGGGGAUGCGUCUGAUUAGCUUGUUGGCGGGGUAACGGCCCACCAAGGCAACGAUCAGUAGGGGUUCUGAGAGGAAGGGCCCCCACAUUGGAACUGAGACACGGUCCAAACUCCUACGGGAGGCAGCAGUGAGGAAUAUUGGUCAAUGGGCGGAAGCUUGAACCAGCCAAGUAGCGUGCAGGAUGACGGCCCUAUGGGUUGUAAACUGCUUUUAUACAGGAAUAAAGUUAGCCACGUGUGGUUAUUUGUAGGUACUGUAUGAAUAAGGACCGGCUAAUUCCGUGCCAGCCGCCGCCGUAA